UGGCGGCGAUUAUGCGGAAAUGAAAUUGAAUGUUACUUCGAACACGUUCUUCUACAAAAUAACCUACCUGUAUUUAGUGCUAUUGCUUUAACAUCAAUCGAAGCAAAAAUGGCAUCAAUGUAUGCGUCUAAAAAUGUUAAAUUUAGAUGGAGACAAUCCAGAAAUGAGCUGCCAGGAAGUGAUCGAUUUCGGACACGAAGAUUGAGAAGUGCCUGGAUACAAGGCUAGUAUUGUUAACAUCAUCUGAUACAAUCAACUGGAACAAAGCUGAAAUGGCUGCCUGACCUGACUUAAAAAUUGGAUGGCAGUACAUCAGACUAGAAGAUUACAAGUAUUGAGGUGGACAAAAUGAAACCUGAGCUUACCAAAGCUGACAGAUUGCACAAGAAACACAUAAAUGCAGAUUGGAAGAUUCAUUCUCUGGAAAGUAGAAAAGGGCAUGUUACAUACUGUUAUCACUGCCAUGACAGAAACCAUAUUGAGGAGCUGGUCCACUUGUAGGAAGAAUUGCGCUAUUGGUUGGAGCAGCACUAUUACCCAGCCAUACACCAGCACUUAGUUUGUCAUAGGGAGCAUUUCUGAGCAGUUAUGGAGACCACUAACUAUGCAGUUGUUGCAGUGAAACUUGCACCAGUGUGUUUUCUGUGGAGAUAAAGAGAUAGUGUCCAGCAAUGAAGACCCAACUCAAGAUCUGACCUUGUAUGGCCAAUAUGAAAUAACUGUGUAAGGCCAAUAUGAAAUAACUGUGUGGGGAGAUAAAGAUAGUGUCCAGCAAUGAAGACCCAACUCAAGAUCUGACCUUGUAAGGCCAAUAUGAAAUAACUGUGUGGGAAAAUGGGAAAAACCUGCAGUCAGGAAUGCAUGGAAAUCAUCAAAAGAACAGUGUUAAAUUAAUCUUGAAUAACUUGACAUUGAUGUUGUUUGACAUAUUUAUUCAUGGUGCAGUGAAAACAUUCUUUUUUUCUCAUGGUUAUUUAAAUUUAGAAUUGAUAGGAGGGAACAUCACUAUGUAGUUUCAUGUUCAUAGUCAGAUCAAAACCCAUGUACAUGCCCAAAUGAGCAUUCGAAAAUAUCAAAAUGGUACUUGUUGUAUGUAGUGUAAGUUAAUUAACGUAAUAGACAAAAAUAUUUAAUCAAUUUCAAUUUAUUAUGCCCCUUUCAAAGAAGAGGAGUAUAUUGCUUUGCACAUGUUGGCCGCUACGUCCGUCUGUCUGACAGUACCCAAAGCUUUUCCGGGUGAUAACUCUACAAUUCCUAGACCUAUUGUCAAACUUGACAUGAAAGUUUGGUUUAACCAGUAGAUGACCCCUUUUGAUUUUAGGGGUAAUAUGGUCAAAGGUCACAGUGACCUUGAACAGGAAGGUGUCAAACCAUACAUCUGACUGAUAAGUUGACAAUGCCUGCACCUAUGGCCCUCAAACUCAACAUGGAGGCUAAGUCUGACUAUUAGAAGAUCCUAUUGAUUUAAGGGGCCAUUGGGUCAAAAGUCAAGGUCACAGUCACCUUGAAUGCUAAAAGGUUGUACUAAUAAUGACUGGACAAAGCCUGCACCCAUGGCCCUUGAACAACUUGACUUUGGGGUUGGGCCUGACCAGUAAGUGAGCCCUAUUGAUUUGUCACAGACCAUUGAACGCAAAAAGCUUGCCUGUGUGACAACUCGACAAAGUCUGCACCCAUGGCCUUCAAACUUGAAAUUUAGGUUUGGGGUGACCAGCAGAUGACCCCUUUGGAUUUGGAGGUCAAGGUCACAUCUCCAAUA